rnacentral:rRNA from 1 species
AUACCUUUCAACGAUGGAUCUCUUGGUUUCCGCAACGAUGAAGAACGCCGCGAAACGCGAUAUUUAAUGUGAAUUGCAGGAUUAAGUGAAUCAUCAAAUCUUUGAACGCAAAUUGCGCUUUGGGCUUAUGCCCUGAGUAUGCCUGGAUCAGUCUCGUUUU